GAGUACUAGGCGAAAUUUAAAACCCGGAAGUUUGACAUUUUAACAGGGAAUAGUAUUCAAGAGUUUGUGAAAUCAACUGAAUAAAUUCAGUGUCAAAUCUAAAUGUGCGAUAACCAUAAGGUUUACUAUUGUGCAACCUAGAUUUAUUAAUGCUGACGGACUAUCGACGUAAAAAGUUUAAAACAUUCUACCUCACCGACGCAGUAAUGUAAACAAACACACAAGCUGCUAAGCAGCGAAAGUCAACAUAACCGAGUAAUGGUUGACGAGCGCGGUUUGGGGCCUAAACUGUACAAUAAUAAAUUAGUCCUUGAUAUGACGUGAACAGGAAGCGCUGAGUCCGGAAGAAAACAACUUCUUUGGACAUAAUAAUGCAAGUGUGGUCAGCCGACUUAUCCAAGGCUUUAUUUUUAAAGCUUUGAAUAAGAGACAAACCGAGGAGGCAUAAAUUAGACAUUGAUUGUAAAAGAAAACGCGUGCAUAAUGUUUUGUGGCAGAAGAAACACACCGGGACCGUAGCACGACCAUAGUAAAGCAAACGAGAGAAGCAAAGUCACAACUUGCGAAGACCUGUGACCUUCAACUGUGGAAGGACACAGGCUUGUAAAUAUUAUCACUGUCGGGCUCUCCCGGAUCCUUCACCUUGCAGGGUUACAUUUGUAUAAGACACUGCGACACAGCACUGUAAGGUUUCUUUGCAAUGACUUGGGGCAACUAGAGAAAGGCAGGUUCCACGGUCUUGCGCAUGAUGUUUAUAUGUAGAGAAAAUAUAUAUUUAGAACUGAAAAAUGAAAAUGUCAGAAAGAUAUAGGAAUGUCAUUAGAAACAAACAAGCUAGGUGUCAUAUAGCAAUGUUAUUGGAAACAAACAAAUUAGGAGGCAAUCCCGGAGGUAAAAGAACAAUUUUUUAUGGUUUAGCUGGAUGAGAGAACAUGUUUCUUUCUUGUACUUUUCUUUAGCUCGGACUACUUUUAGCAAUAUUGGUUUGCUCAGUUUUCUUCCUCUCAUUUCCAACAAAUCAUGUGGACUCAAAUAAUUAUUGUUAGCGUGAAUUCAUUAAAAUAAUUAAUUUGUUUUAUCUCACUGGUUCAUUGGACAUGAAUAGAAUUAGGCCAUUUGGCCCAUCGAGUCUACUCCAUCAUUCCUGAUCUAUCUUUCCCUCUCAACCCCAUUCUCUAACCGUCUCCCCAAAACCUUUGAAAUCCUUACUAAUCAAGAACCUAUCAAUCUCCACUUUAUAAAUACCCAAUGACUUAGUCUGUGGCAAUGAAUUCCACAGAUUCACUUGGUAAAUAAAUUCCUCCUUUCUGCAGGUACGUCCUUUUAUUCAGAGGCUAUGCUCCCAGGUCCUAGACAUGCCCACUACUGGAAUCAUCUUCUCCACAUCCAGUCUGACUAGGAAUGAUUUUCUCCAUUUCCAAUUAUCAUUUCAACCGGAAUCUAUCAGAGUUAAAAAAAAAAUUGGAGCGCUAUCAGCAUUUCCACUUUGACGGCAAUUACUCGAAAUUCUGGUUCCGGCCGCUGGAAGUUUUGGGGAAAAGAAAUUGUGACAAUCCGUACCUCUGCAGAUCGGGGAAGCCGUUGAUGCAGUAGCAACGCAAAAUGACGCUGCCUUUCCACGCGUGUGCAGUGGGCCCAGGCGGGUUCAGAUCUCCAUUUGCACUCCACACAAUCACCUCGAUGCCUUGUGUCUACUCCAGAACAGCAGUCGGUACAAUUCUUCCACAUUAGCUGCAGCCCGAGAAAAUAUAUCUCGGACAGGCAGGAGAAAAAACGCAUUUUAACCCCGCCCCCACCCCUCAAAGGCGCCAAAGUCACGCACACGGCCAGUGGCAGAACUGCAGCGCUGCUGAAGGUGCAGGCUGAGGAGUUUCAGCGUUUUACAGACUUCAUGCAUGGACCACAGGGUCAUUGAGACUGAUAUUUUUACGCUCUGAGAGUGACAACAUUGCAAAUCCUCAGCAGGUGAGGCAGCAUCUGUGGACAGAGAAACAGAAGUCAAGAUGUUACAUUUUGAAUAAAAAACAAGGUUAUCUUUGA